AUUACAUGUGAUGCCUAAAAUAUACCCAAAAAUGAUGGAAAACUUUUAAGGUCUAAUGCCUCUAUUGCCACAUUAUAUGUUAAAAGAAUUGGCUUAUUUCAUUGCGCUAUGUCUUUUUUGUGUUGAAAGAGUAUGCAUAUCAUGUUAUGAUUAACACCAAAAAUAACUAUGCCAUAAUCACAGCACCAUUGAUAAAUCAUUGAUUUAUAUAUCUGUAUUUACUCUCCUUGAAUCAAGAACAUACGAACUAAAAUAAACACGCAUUUUGAUUUGAAUCUUAUUCGUUUUGUUUUUCUUACUUAUUCUAAC
rnacentral:lncRNA from 1 species